rnacentral:rRNA from 1 species
UGCAGUCGAGCGGUAGAGAAGGAGCUUGCUUCUUCUUGAGAGCGGCGGACGGCUCUCCAAAGGCUAGGAAUCUGCCUGGUAGUGGGGGACAACGUCCCUUUUAAGAACGCUAAUACCGCAUACGUCCUACGGGAGAAAGUGGGGGAUCUUCGGACCUCACGCUAUCAGAUGAGCCUAGGUCGGAUUAGCUUGUAGGUGAGGUAAUGGCUCACCUAGGCAACGAUCCGUAACUGGUCUGAGAGGAUGAUCAGUCACACUGGAACUGAGACACGGUCCAGACUCCUACGGGAGGCAGCAGUGGGGAAUAUUGGACAAUGGGCGAAAGCCUGAUCCAGCCAUGCCGCGUGUGUGAAGAAGGUCUUCGGAUUGUAAAGCACUUUAAGUUGGGAGGAAGGGUUGUAGCUUAAUACGCUGCAACCUUGACGUUACCAACAGAAUAAGCACCGGCUAACUCUGUGCCAGCAGCCGCGGUAAUACAGAGGGUGCAAGCGUUAAUCGGAAUUACUGGGCGUAAAGCGCGCGUAGGCGGCUUGAUAAGAUGGGUGUGAAAUCCCCGGGCUUAACCUGGGAACUGCAUCCAUAACUGUCUGGCUAGAGUACAGUAGAGGGUGGUGGAAUUUCCUGUGUAGCGGUGAAAUGCGUAGAUAUAGGAAGGAACACCAGUGGCGAAGGCGACCACCUGGACUGAUACUGACGCUGAGGUGCGAAAGCGUGGGGAGCAAACAGGAUUA